AAACUGAGGGAAUUUUGAAUUUUGGCCCACCGACUCUAUCCCCUCUUUGGCAUGCCUCUACUCUCUCUCCCCCUUGCCUUCCCCAUUCUCUCUCCCUCUAACUCUCAUGCCUUUCCAUCUCUCAUACUCUCUCUCUCCUAAGAAACACAGGUAAAAAACAUAGGGAACUAUCCCAUUCUCUCUUUCUUACAUUACUAUUCUCUCAUGCCCUGCCUUCCCACUCUCUCAAGACCUCUAUUAGGGAUGUAAUGGUAAUGAUAGAAGACACUGUUUUUUUGGUUGGAGGAUUGCUCUUUGAGAACCCAUUAUUUCAUUCAAGUUCAAAGCUACUAUAAAAAACUGAAUUUUGAAAAUGGAGGACUCCUGCAGUUGCUGGUUUGCUUAUUUUUCACAAGAUAAGGAGGCGCGAGUGGAAGAUCUGAUGCUAAAAUAAGGGAUGGUCAUGAUAGGUUUUUUUAUCAGUAUUUUGGCUUUAGGGCGUCUUUGACUAUGGCUAUCUUCCAUUGACUGUACAUGGCUGUCAUUUGAGUCAUCAUAAUGGCCACAAGUAGAGUGAGGUUGUUAUGUUAUUAUGGUGGUUCCUUUCAGAGAAGGCUAAAUGAUGGACGAAUGUACUACAAGGGCGAGAAUGUGAAAGCUGCUUUGUUUAAUGGGAGUGACUCAUUGGACCAGUUAAAGACGCACAUGGGGUCUAUUGCGCAUUGUGACCCUAGCUAUUUGAUGAUUAUAUAUCUAGAAAGUGAUAUUUUAGUAGAAGUAAAUGAAGAUGCAGAUGUGACAUGUAUGUUGUUGGUGGCUUCCAAUGGUCAUGUAUGUAUUGCGAAUUAACCAUUCGAAGUAAUAAAUAGGGAACAUCAAACAAA